rnacentral:rRNA from 1 species
AGCGGCGGACGGGUGAGUAAUGUCUGGGAAACUGCCUGAUGGAGGGGGAUAACUACUGGAAACGGUAGCUAAUACCGCAUAAUGUCGCAAGACCAAAGUGGGGGACCUUCGGGCCUCAUGCCAUCAGAUGUGCCCAGAUGGGAUUAGCUAGUAGGUGGGGUAACGGCUCACCUAGGCGACGAUCCCUAGCUGGUCUGAGAGGAUGACCAGCCACACUGGAACUGAGACACGGUCCAGACUCCUACGGGAGGCAGCAGUGGGGAAUAUUGCACAAUGGGCGCAAGCCUGAUGCAGCCAUGCCGCGUGUGUGAAGAAGGCCUUCGGGUUGUAAAGCACUUUCAGCGGGGAGGAAGGCGCUAAGGUUAAUAACCUUGCCGAUUGACGUUACCCGCAGAAGAAGCACCGGCUAACUCCGUGCCAGCAGCCGCGGUAAUACGGAGGGUGCAAGCGUUAAUCGGAUUUACUGGGCGUAAAGCGCACGCAGGCGGUCUGUCAAGUCGGAUGUGAAAUCCCCGGGCUCAACCUGGGAACUGCAUUCGAAACUGGCAGGCUAGAGUCUUGUAGAGCGGGGUAGAAUUCCAGGUGUAGCGGUGAAAUGCGUAGAGAUCUGGGAGAAAUACCGGGUGGCCAAAGGCGGCCCCCCUGCACAAAGACUGACCCCUCAGGUCCAAAAGCUUGGGGAGCAAACGGGGUUUAGAUCCCCUGGUAGUCCCACGCCGUAAAACGAUGUCGAUUUGGGAGGUUGUGCCCUUUGAGGCGUGGCUUUCCGGGAGCUAAACGGCGUUAAAAUCGACCGCCUGGGGGAGUACGGCCGGCAAGGGUUAAAAUUUCAAAUGGAUUUGACGGGGGGCCCGCCACAAGGCGGUGGAACCAUGUUGGUUUAAAUUCCGAUGCCAACGGGGAAAGAACCUU